rnacentral:rRNA from 1 species
CCUACGGGUGGCUGCAGUCGAGGAUCUUCGGCAAUGGGGGAAACCCUGACCGAGCGAUGCCGCGUGGGCGACGAAGGCCUUCGGGUUGUAAAGCCCUGUCGAGGGGGGGAAAAGGGUAACACCUUGAUCGAUCCCUGGAGGAAGCACGGGCUAAGUUCGUGCCAGCAGCCGCGGUAAGACGAACCGUGCGAACGUUGUUCGGAAUCACUGGGCUUAAAGGGCGCGUAGGCGGGCUGGCGAGUCCGGGGUGAAAUUCACCGGCUUAACCGGUGAAC